GAUGAAGAACGCAGCGAAAUGCGAUACGUAAUGUGAAUUGCAAAUUCAGUGAAUCAUCGAGUCUUUGAACGCACAUUGCGCCCCCUGGUAUUCCGGGGGGCAUGCCUGUCCGAGCGUCAUUGCUGCCCUCAAGCACGGCUUGUGUGUUGGGCCCCGUCCUCCGAUCCCGGGGGACGGGCCCGAAAGGCAGCGGCGGCACCGCGUCCGGUCCUCGAGCGUAUGGGGCUUUGUCACCCGCUCUGUAGGCCCGGCCGGCGCUUGCCGAUCAACCCAAAUUUUUAUCCAGGUUGACCUCGGAUCAGGUAGGGAUACCAGCUGAACUUAAGCAUAUCAAUAAGCGGAGGA
rnacentral:misc_RNA from 1 species